GCCCGGAUGGCGGAAUAGGCAGACGCACAGGACUUAAAAUCCUGCGGGACUCAACUCCCGUGCCGGUUCAAGUCCGGCUCCGGGCACCA
rnacentral:tRNA from 1 species